UAAAAUGAUAUUGGAUUCUGAGCGGAGCGAGAAAUGUAUUGAUUUUAUAACGGUGUUUGUUUUAUUCCUGAGACUUCUAACUACCCGCCACUUUACCUGGUAAUCAUUUCAAUGUUUGACGUUCGUUUAUCCGCCGUAAUCGCGUUAUUUAUUAUGUCGACAAACACUUACCUAACCUUUAGUCCUUCCGACUUUUUGUUUGUAAAUG